AUACACAUAUCCAACUAUUAUUAUUAACACAUGAGACAAGCUGUAACAAGUACUAGUACUACCAAAUAACUCACAACCUCAUAGCACCCGCAAGGUAACCUUCAAUCUCAAUUUUUAGAAGUGACACAACCACCUACCUUUUGCAUAAUGUAGUUGCAAGAAAAAACAACUUAAACUGUAUCCCGAAAAGUGGAGAGCUACUAUAAGCCAACAACCCUUAAUGUAACAUUAUUAAGACACAGCCUAUAAUAGCAGCGAAAUACCUAUCGAGCCACUUGAUAGCUGGUUGUUCCUCAAAGACAUGUAAGUGUCCUGUUACAGUGUACGAAUUAAAUCAAUUCCCUGUAAAAGAAACUCUAAGGGGGACAAGCCCCUUGAAGUCACUCGAAAUAAUCUAAACAAUUAAUACUUCAUAAGGGCCUAAAAACAGCCAAACAUAUCCGUUAUAGGAAAUGACAUCUAAAACCAAAAUAAAAUAUAAAAUUCUACCCUACAAGGAACCUAAAAGAACAAUUUAAUCCUUUUAUGAACUGGCAACUAUUAGUAUCUAAAAGCAAACGUAAUACGUUAUCCUAUUAAAUAAAAUAACUUCAUAAAACCUAUAAGCUUCAAUUUACCAUUGGUAAUGAAUUCGGCAAACCUUUUCUCUGCCUGUUUACCAAAAACAUCGUCUUUUGUCACUACACCCAUAAAAGAUACUGCCUGCCCAAUGAUUUUAAGCAAUUAAAUGGCCGCGUUAGCGUGAGCGUGCUAAGGUAGCGUAAUAAACAGCUCCUCAAUUAGGAGCCAGUGAAUGGCCAAACAGAGAAAGACUUUAUCGCCAAUGAAGAGAAAACUUUUCCUCUAAGUGAAAAGACUUAGAUAAAAGAAAAAGACAAAAAGACCCCGCGGAACUUCCCUAUAGUUUUAUUACUUAAAUUAAACCACAUGCUUAAAACUAACUGGUUGGUUGGGGCAACCUUGGAGUAAAACAAACCUCCAUUUUUUCUAAGAAACCAUACAAAACUUAAUAUGGACCACAUUUGCAGUUACCCCGGGGAUAACAGCGUAAUCCAACUUAAGAGUACGAAUUGAAAGUUGGGUUUGCGACCUCGAUGUUGGCUUAGGGAAAGCAACUUGGUGCAGCCGCUAAGUUACUAAUGCCAGUCUGUUCGACUGCUAACCCCCUACACGAGCUGAGUUAAGACCGGCGAGAGCUAGGUUGGAUUCUAUCUUUUCUAUUAACCCAAUUCUUUAUUGUACGAAAGGACCCAAAGAAGCACACACUAAAGUGUUUACACUCAAGGAUAAACAACCACUAUAACAACUUAUUUCGCCAAC
rnacentral:rRNA from 1 species